ACACUAAGAUGCCCAGCUCCCAAUGGGAUCCAAACCCCAAAUAAAUCCAUUUUACUCUGUAUAAAGCUUAUACAGGGUAAACUCAUAAACUGUCCACCUUCUAUAACCCUGACAGAGAGAUAUGAGCAGCUGUUUGCUCCUCCAGGUAUUAAUUACUUACUCUGGAUUAAUUAAUAA